GACGAACGCUGGCGGCAUGCCUAAUACAUGCAAGUCGAGCGGAUCUUCUUAAGUAGCUUGCUACUUAAGUUGGUUAGCGGCGGACGGGUGAGUAACACGUAGGCAACCUGCCCUCAAGAUUGGGAUAACAUUCGGAAACGAAUGCUAAGACCGGAUACGCAAGCCUGGGGCAUCUCGGGCUUGGGAAACACGGAGCAAUCUGUGGCUUGAGGAUGGGCCUGCGGCGCAUUAGCUAGUUGGUGGGGUAACGGCCUACCAAGGCGACGAUGCGUAGCCG
rnacentral:rRNA from 1 species